CAUCGAGGGGCCGAAUGCUGAAGGUCCAGCCUCCUCCCAGCACCUGCUGCCGCAUCCCAAGCCCCCGCACCCGAGGCCACCCACCCAAAAACCACUGGGCCGCUGCUUCCAGGACACACUGCCCAAGCAGCCUUGUGGCAGCAACCCUUUGCCCGGCCUCACCAAGCAGGAAGAUUGCUGCGGUAGCAUCGGUACUGCCUGGGGACAAAGCAAGUGUCACAAGUGCCCACAGCUUCAGUGUGAGUGCCUGGCUCAAUGAAGUGUCCCCCACAGGGUGGCCCAGCUAUCUUUCUCCCAUCCCUGCUAUGGGAAUCUCCCCUCCCCCCCCCAGUGCAGGCUCCGCCCCCAAAUUUGGUGGUGAACCCACGAAAUCCUCUGUCUCUUCUCCAAAGCCCUCAUUUCUCUCCUGCAGAACCACAGUGU
rnacentral:lncRNA from 1 species